CCUCUGGAGGUUUAGAGCACAAAUCAGAGACAAACGAAGCUUGCUGAAUUUGGACAGCUUACAAGCAGGUCCACAGGCACCAUUCCUUAAUUCUUUUUCUAAAUUAAGACACAUAUAAUGCAUGAUUUAAACUAAGAUUAGUGAUCGUCUUUAUAACCUUUGAACUUACAUUAGUACUCAUUUGAGGACAGCCGCCAACAUCCAGGCCUUCUUUUCAACUCUCAAGUCUUGGUUCACUGGUAACACUUCACACCUUUCUCACUGGGGCAGCAGCCAUUUUGGAAGUGGUGUAGUAAAUCUGGACAUCCAGUCUCUCACCGGCUUCGGAGUUUCGAUCCAUCCAAAUAAACCAGACCAACACGCGACACAGGAUCAAGUUUUAUACAAGUGGAAAUAUCUUGUUAGGAACAUUCCUUGUGCCUCACUCCCACCUGAGAGUAAUGUGGAGUGAGAUUUAAAAUUUGUGUUUCAACAUAAUGGGGAAAACUGUGAUGCAUGCACCAAUGCGGUUGAAUUAAUCUUAUUCUGACCAGAGAAGGGCUUUUACCCACAGAUACACCUGUCUGCUCUUUAGUGACCUCUGGUGGUUAGUGCAAGGCCUACUUCCACAAGAAGAAGAUGGAGGAGGAGGGGGUACAAAAGACUGCAAGGAUGUGGACACCAGUGUCAUUGCAAUGUUUUAUUAUAUCAAAAUACAAAAUUUUUUGAGGGUUAUUACGAUGGAACAAAGCAUUUGAACAAUGUGAACUGAAUAAAACCGAGCUGAAAUGAAUGUGUGUGUAUACAGUAUGUGUGUGUGUGUGUGUGUGUGUGUGUGGGUGCCUGGAGAUGUAAACGGUAAAGCUGAGCAGAGAUGUCCGUGCCAUGAUGUGGGACUAGUGGUGG